rnacentral:rRNA from 1 species
GAUGAACGCUGGCGGCGUGCCUAAUACAUGCAAGUCGAGCGAACAGACGAGGAGCUUGCUCCUCUGACGUUAGCGGCGGACGGGUGAGUAACACGUGGAUCCCCUCCCUAUAAGACUGGGAUAACUUCGGGAAACCGGCUCUAAUCCCGGAUAAUCUAUUGAACCGCAUUGUUCAAUAGUGAAAGACGGUUUUGCUGUCACUUAUAGAUGGAUCCCCGCCGCAUUAGCUAGUUGGUAAGUUAACGGCUUACCAAGGCAACGCUGCGUAGCCGACCUGAGAGGGUGAUCGGCGACACUGGAACGGAGACACGGUCCAGACGCCUACGGGAGGGAGCAGUAGGGAAUCUGCCGCAAUGGGCGGAAGCCUGACGGAGCAACGCCGCGUGAGUGAUGAAGGUCUUCGGACCGUAAAACUCUGUUAUUAGGGAAGAACAAAUGUGUAAGUAACUAUGCACGUCUUGACGGUACCUAAUAAGAAAGCCACGGCUAACUACGUG